rnacentral:snRNA from 1 species
AUAUUUACUUGAACGGGGUCGAUGGGUGAUCAAAAAGUCCCAUGGCCAAGGUUGGCAACCUCCAUUGCACUAGGGAGGGGUGCCUGUACCUAACAUCUUCCCAAAUGGGAGAGUGUACGUCAUAAUUUGUGAUAGUGGGUGGGGGUACGUGUUCGUGCGGCCCCUGC